CUUCGCUUUUUUCAGAGUUUGAACGACCGGUCUUCUAACAUUGGCUCGAAAAUCUGCAAAUAUAGAUAAGACGCAAACAAACAGAGAGACAGCCCCAGACAGAGCGCUCGGGAGUGUGAGUGCGUAAAAAUCUUAAUAGAGAGAGAGAUAGAC